UACGGAGGGAGCAAGCGUUGUUCGGAUUUACUGGGCGUAAAGGGCGCGUAGGCGGUCAGCACAAGUCAGUUGUGAAAUCUCCGGGCUUAACCCGGAAAGGUCAACUGAUACUGUGCGACUAGAGUGCGGAAGGGGCAACUGGAAUUCUCGGUGUAGCGGUGAAAUGCGUAGAUAUCGAGAGGAACACCUGCGGCGAAGGCGGGUUGCUGGGCCGACACUGACGCUGAUGCGCGAAAGCCAGGGGAGCGAACGGG
rnacentral:rRNA from 1 species